rnacentral:misc_RNA from 1 species
GCGGCUGGAUCCCCUCCUUUCUAAGAGCAGUGGCAUUGAUCUGAGGGUCAAUGCCGGACUAGAAAGUAGAAGCAGGUUGUAUGGGUUCUUUUCACUAUUCGGGUGUGAAGGUGCGCCUGACCAAGAGGAACGAAAGAAGGCGGGAAUGUAGCUCAGCUGGUUAGAGCACUCGCCUGAUAAGCGAGAGGUCAGAGGUUCGAGUCCUCUCAUUCCCACAGGAUGCGCACCUGGCGAGCCAAAUGAGGGGACGUAGCUCAGUUGGGAGAGCGCCGCCUUUGCACGGCGGAGGUCAGGAGUUCGAGUCUCCUCGUCUCCAAAACGAAGUGGAUGUCCGGCAGGUGGAUGGAAGAAGAGUAACUUGUGUUCACCUGCCGGAUGGACACAUCCGGCAAGCAAAAGAAGGGCAAUCGUGAAUUGCCUUGCACCCUACCAGACGAAUACGAAGAAGAUGCGAUAACAAAAGGCAACAACGUUUUUUUGACCACACGUCAACAAUUUCUCGGUAUCACACGCUGCUGUGAAGCGGCGUGAGUGUGAAGCGAAGAAGAAAAGGGCGUACGGGGGAUGCCUUGGCAUCGUGUGCUGAUGAAGGACGUGGUACACUGCGAAAAGCUUCGGUGAGGUGUGUGCAACCGUAAGAGCCGGAGAUG